rnacentral:rRNA from 1 species
UACAGAGGUCCCAAGCGUUGUUCGGAUUCACUGGGCGUAAAGGGUGCGUAGGUGGCUUGGUACGUUUGAUGUGAAAUCUCCGGGCUUAACCCGGAAAUGGCAUUGAAUACUAUUGAGCUGGAGGUUUGGAGGGGGGACUGGAAUUCUCGGUGUAGCAGUGAAAUGCGUAGAUAUCGAGAGGAACACCAGUGGCGAAGGAGAGUCUCUGGACAUUUCCUAACGCUGAGGCACGAAAGCCAGGGGAGCAAACGGG